rnacentral:rRNA from 1 species
CAGCCGCCACGGGAAUACGAAGGGGGCUAGCGUUGUUCGGAUUUACUGGGCGUAAAGGGCGCGUAGGCGGACUGAUAAGUCAGGGGUGAAAUCCCAAGGCUCAACCUUGGAACUGCCUUUGAUACUGUUUGUCUUGAGUUCGAGAGAGGUAGGUGGAACUGCGAGUGUAGAGGUGAAAUUCGUAGAUAUUCGCAAGAACACCAGUGGCGAAGGCGGCUUACUGGCUCGAAACUGACGCUGAGGCGCGAAAGCGUGGGGAGCAAACAGGAUUAGAUACCCCCGUAGUCCCUGUCUCUUAUAC